GCUGGAGUGCAGUGGCACGAACAUGACUCACUGCAGCCUUGACCUCCUGGACUCAAGCAAUCCUCCAGUCUCAGCCCCUCAAGUUGCUAGGACUACAGGCGCAAGCCACCACACGCAGGGGUCUCACUCUGCCACCCAGGCUGGAGCAUGAUGAUACAAUCAUGGCUUACUUCGGCCUCAAACUCCUCGGCUUAAGUGAUCCUUCUGCCUCAGCCUCCUGAGUAGCUAAAGUAGACCUACAAGCACAUGCCACCAUACCCAGGUUGCAUAUCUCACCUGCACUGUGGUCCAGGAGUCUCAAGUCACCAUCCCCACCAUCGUCAGUCACCUGGUGACCCCAGGCAGAAACUGAUCAUCAGGGGACCUUGGAGGUCCUGUUCUCUACGAGUGAAUAUCCUAAUGACCAUAAUAAAGCCAGUUCCCUUUUUGGGGACUGACAUUUGUUGAGAACUCCCUCUAAGAAUGCUGUCUUGCUGCAAAACUUCACCUCUGGAUAAAGUGGCUGUGCUCCUUCUGGGUGUUUGCAUUGAGGCUGCUGAGGCACAGCUGAGAAUGCACCACACAGCUGACUACGCUGCUGAGCAUAUCUCAUUACUAAAUGCCCAUCCCUUUCAAGGAUGCCAGGCCGUUAGGGCUGCAUUGCAAUUUUGAUGGACACUGGGGAUUAAUGCCUGUGUGUCCUUGUUCCAUUAAAAAGUUUGAAGUUUGC